rnacentral:rRNA from 1 species
UACGUAGGGUGCGAGCGUUUGUCCGGAAUUUAUUGGGCGUAAAGAGCUUGUAGGCGGUCUGUCGCGUCUGCUGUGAAAAUCCGGGGCUCAACCCCGGACUUUGCAGUGGGUACGGGCAGACUAGAGUGUGGUAGGGGAGACUGGAAUUCCUGGUGAUAGCGGUGAAAUGCGCAGAUAUCAGGAGGAACACCAACGGGCGGAAGGCAGCCCGCUGGGACGG